UGCAGAUUCUCUAAAUAAACGAUUUACAAGAUAAUUUAUCCACGCUCGUGUAUGAUGGUGGCAUAGUGUAUUUGAAUUCAUGUGCAGAAUAUGGGCUGUAAUACAAAUGUGACCGCCAGUUGUCACCUAUCAGCAAAUCCAGCGUCCAGUCAUUAAUUUUCUUUUUAGCUCGGCAAACAUUAUCAGGCAUCCGCUUCUUCUAGAUGACAACAAGUACCUUGUAAUGUAUCGACGGAGAGAGGAGAGACACAAGCAGGCGUACCCAAAAGAUGAACAUGAUCGACGCUGCAAUGACCCUGGAUCUCGUACCAAAACUGAUACAUGCCGAUGCUCACAGCCGUUAAACAGCUGCUGUAAUCUAAUCAAGGACGAACAUGACUCGAUUAGCUACACGAUGUGACUACUCGAAUACUAAAAAAAAUAGUAAUUUACGAUUCUGGCGAUAAAGCGUACCAGUAAGUUAGUUUUCGCUGUAUCCUGCACCGGCUUAUUACCGGUGAAGUAUAUUACGGUCCGGUAUUACAUCGAAAAAAUACUGUUAUCUCCUCUACAACCCAAUACGGACAGUGCUUUAAGAUUGCUUAAUAUGAGUUUGGGCAAUACUUAAAUCGAAGAAGAAGAAACUUCGCAGAAUUUUCUCGAAUCUUGCAGCUGCAGUAAUGUUAAUCCAACCCUCGAACAUCGCUUCUAAAAGAUUUCCGGGUAGAGCUCUAUACUGUGCUCAUCGACAAUCUAAUUACGACCACCAAAAAGGAAGAGGUCAAUGAUCACUAUAAGCAUUUAUGGGGAACAGACCCCUAUUUUAUAUACCCUCUGCAAGCAGCACAUUAUCCAGCGUUUAAAUCGGCAUUGCAUUCAAUAGAUUUUUCUAGCUCAAUCUCGAAUACGCACCCAUUAUAGUGGAUUAAGCCGAACGUACUAACACCAGUAAACCCAAUCAACUAGUAGAAUAUGUGCAGGCAUUUGGCGGAUUUUGAAAAUCCGUAAAUGUAUAUAACAUUGCGAUAUUUAAAGUCAUUGAAUAUGUCCACACAAAGAAUGUGUCACAUUAGGCAAUAAAUAGUGAUGCUAUCUGUCGACAUGUUUUAGAUAAACUGAAUAUACUUGUUAAAAAAAAUAACUAGAUAGGCUUCAAAAUCUCAAAGUUCCCGUGGCAAAACGAAGGUUCCUUAUUUGAACUGAAGAAAUCUAAGGCUUUUUAAGGUAUCAAUAAAAUAUUUUCUCACUAAUCUAAAGUUUCUUUUAAUCACUCAAACUUUUAGCAGAGUUGCAGUAAGCCACAGAAAACUGUAAAGUUUUCAAGCUUUACGAGUAUGAGUUUCAUUUUGGAAGUAAAUCGGUCGAAACAGCGCACUGACGCAGAGACUACUAGAAGCAGCGCAAGCUGUUAGCUUCAAAUAUCCCCUGAUGAGAAUCUUGAAUUCAAAAAUGAGUCCCAUGGAAGAACUCGCGAGGUGUGUGAAGGUGAACAAUGAAGUGUUGAGAACCAUUUGGAAGGCAGCCUAUGUCAAAAUUCACUAAAUGAUAUCUAGGUAUGGUGCAUGUGGCAAAGAUGUAGAAGUUACAGUUGAAGGAUCUGUCAUCCAUUACACUCCUUAGAUAUUGCUCCCUCAGAUUAGCAUUUUUUUUUCAAAAUCCCUGAAGCUUCUUAAUAGAAAAUUCCUUAAGUCAACUUGAAGUCAAAAUUACCGUUCCAAACUUUACGGAUCCUUGUACACCGGAUUUCUACAGCAGCGGAAUAGAUAAAUUACCGUCUGAAAG
rnacentral:lncRNA from 1 species